rnacentral:rRNA from 1 species
UGCAGCAGAGCUCCGACCUUCGGGGACGAGCGCUUUUAUUAGACCAAAACCAAUCGGACCUCGUGUCCGUCCUUUGUGGUGACUCUGUAUAACUUUGGGCUGAUCGCACGGGCCUGUCCCGGCGACGUAUCUUUCAAGUGUCUGCCUUAUCAACUUUCGAUGGUAGGUUACGCGCCUACCAUGGUCGUAACGGGUAACGGGGAAUCAGGGUUCGAUUCCGGAGAGGGAGCCUGAGAAACGGCUACCACAUCCAAGGAAGGCAGCAGGCGCGCAAAUUACCCACUCCCAGAACGGGGAGGUAGUGACGAAAAAUAACAAUACGGGACUCUUUUGAGACCCCGUAAUUGGAAUGAGUACACUCUAAAUCCUUUAACGAGGAUCCAUUGGAGGGUAAGUCUGGUGCCAGCAACCGCGGUAAUUCCAGCUCCAAUAGCGUAUAUUAAAGUUGUUGCGGUUAAAAAGCUCGUAGUUGGAUCUCAGUUCCAGACGGGUGGUCCGCCUACCGGUGGUUACUGCCUGUUCUGAACAGUCAGCCGGUUUCUCUUGAUGAUCUUCACCGGUUGUCUUGGGUGACCGGCAAGUUUACUUUGAAAAAAUUAGAGUGCUCAAAGCAGGCGUGACGCCUGAAUAAUGGUGCAUGGAAUAAUGGAAUAGGACCUCGGUUCUAUUUUGUUGGUUUUCGGAACACGAGGUAAUGAUUAAGAGGGACAGACGGGGGCAUUCGUAUUGCGACGCUAGAGGUGAAAUUCUUGGACCG